UGAAUACGAGAUGCUACGGCGUCGAAGCAGUGUAUGUCAGACUUCCAAGAAAAGCUCGCAAUGUCAUAAAUAAAGAAUGCCUGUACCAUAACCGACACAGGUGGGUAGGUAGAGUAUACUAAGGGGCGCGAGAUAACUCUCUCUAAGGAACUCGGCAAAAUAACUCCGUAACUUCGGGAGAAGGAGUGCCUUCUUUAAGAAGGUUGCAAUAACAAGAUCCAAGCAACUGUUUAUCAAAAACACAGGUCUCCGCUAAGUCGUAAGACGAUGUAUGGGGGCUGACGCCUGCCCAGUGCCAGAAGGUUAAAGAAGUUGGUUAGCUUUUGCGAAGCUGAUGACUGAAGCCCUGGUGAACGGCGGCCGUAACGAUAACGGUCCUAAGGUAGCGAAAUUCCUUGUCGGGUAAGUUCCGACCCGCACGAAAGGCGUAAUGAUUUGGAUACUGUCUCGGAGAGGGACUCGGUGAAAUAGACUUGUCUGUGAAGAUGCGGACUACCUGCACCAGGACAGAAAGACCCUAUGAAGCUUUACUGUAACUUGAAAUUGAAAUUGGACUUUAUUUGCGCAGUAUAGGUGGAAGGCGUUGAAAGUAAUCUUGCGGGAUUAGUGGAGCCAUCAGUGAGAUACCACUCCUAUAAUGUUAGAUUUCUAACUUUGGAUCAUGAUCUGGUCAAAGAACAGUUUCAGGCGGGCAGUUUGACUGGGGCGGUCGCCUCCCAAAUGGUAACGGAGGCGUACAAAGGUUUCCUCUGAACGGGUAGAAAUCGUAUCUAGAGUGUAAAGGCAUAAGGAAGCUUGACUGUGAGACCUACAAGUCGAGCAGGGACGAAAGUCGGUCUUAGUGAUCUGACGGUGCUGAGUGGAAAGGCCGUCACUCAACGGAUAAAAGUUACUCUAGGAUAACAGGCUGAUCUCCCCCAAGAGUUCACAUCGACGGGGAGGUUUGGCACCUUGAUGUCGACUCAUCGCAUCCUGGGGCGGUAGUACGUCCCAAGGGUUGGGCUGUUCGCCCAUGAAAGCGGUACGCGAGCUGGGUUCAGAACGUCGUGAGACAGUUCGGUCCAUAUCCGGUGUAGGCGUUAGAAUAUUGAGAGGAGCCUUCUUUAGUACGAGAGGACCGAGAAGGACAUACCUCUGGUGUACCAGUUAUCGUGCCAACGGUAAACGCUGGGUAGCUAUGUAUGGAGAGGAUAACCGCUGAAAGCAUCUAAGUGGGAAGCCCACCUCAAGAUGAG
rnacentral:rRNA from 1 species